rnacentral:rRNA from 1 species
UAGCAAGAUAGAAUUCGGAUCCUCCGGUUGAUCCUGCCAGAGGUCACUGCUAUCGGGGUUCGAUUAAGCCAUGCGAGUCGAGAGGGUUCGGCCCUCGGCGUACUGCUCAGUAACACGUGGAUAACCUGCCCUAGGGGAGGGGAUAACCCCGGGAAACUGGGGAUAAUACCCUAUAGGUUACAGAUGCUGGAAUGCCCUGUAAUCCAAAGUUCCGACGCCCUAGGAUGGAUCUGCGGCCGAUUAGGUUGUUGUUGGGGUAACGGCCCAACAAGCCCGUAAUCGGUACGGGUUGUGGGAGCAAGAGCCCGGAGUUGGAUUCUGAGACACGAAUCCAGGCCCUACGGGGCGCAGCAGGCGCGAAACCUUUACAAUGCGGGCAACCGUGAUAAGGGAACCUCGAGUGCCUGUAAACGCAGGCUGUUCAGGUGUUUAAAACGCACCUGGAGAAAGGGCCGGGCAAGACCGGUGCCAGCCGCCGCGGUAAUACCGGCGGCUCGAGUGGUGGCCGCUUUUAUUGGGCUUAAAGCGUUCGUAGCUGGGUUGUUAAGUCUCUUGGGAAAUCUGGCGGCUUAACCGUCAGGCGUCUAAGGGAUACUGGCAAUCUUGGAACCGGGAGAGGUGAGGGGUACUUCGGGGGUAGGAGUGAAAUCCUGUAAUCCUCGAGGGACCACCUGUGGCGAAGGCGCCUCACCAGAACGGCUUCGACAGUGAGGGAC